rnacentral:rRNA from 1 species
UGGGGAAUAUUGCACAAUGGGCGCAAGCCUGAUGCAGCCAUGCCGCGUGUAUGAAGAAGGCCUUCGGGUUGUAAAGUACUUUCAGCGGGGAGGAAGGGAGUAAAGUUAAUACCUUUGCUCAUUGACGUUACCCGCAGAAGAAGCACCUGCUAACUCCGUGCCAGCAGCAGCGGUAAUACGGAGGGUGCAAGCGUUAAUCGGAAUUACUGGGCGUAAAGCGCACGCAGGCGGUUUGUUAAGUCAGAUGUGAAAUCCCCGGGCUCAACCUGGGAACUGCAUCUGAUACUGGCAAGCUUGAGUCUCGUAGAGGGGGGUAGAAUUCCAGGUGUAGCGGUGAAAUGCGUAGAGAUCUGGAGGAAUACCGGUGGCGAAGGCGGCCCCCUGGACGAAGACUGACGCUCAGGUGCGAAAGCGUGGGGAGCAAACA